UUCUUUUUCUCCAGAAGAUGCUCCAGCAUAUCAGGACACUGUGAUCAGCAAGAUGGCAGUUGACACCGUGAGGACCAUAUUGCUAAUCUCCCCAUUUUGCAGAAUACAUGUGUUCUGUGGAGUAUUUUCUGCUCUGAAUCAGGAUGUUUAGGAGUUCAAAUCAAAUGUUCUUACUGAGAGAGUCAGCCAGCUAAUCUCCAUGCCAGGAAAUGAAGCCAUCUGAUGUCCUGAGGUGAAGCUAUAGGAGGCUGUAUGAGUCCAGAACAACUUGAAAUCUGUUUUCUAAAUAAAUCCUCAUUGGUUUGGAGUGUUUAUUUUCUGCCACAAUCAGUAUUGCCUUAUUUUUAUUUUCAGGCAUUAUCAAGGGGACAAAUGCAGAAUCUGCUAUUACAGGUAUGAUUUUACAGUUUUUUAUCUUUCUAAGGCAGUUUGCAAAAAAUCCUGAAUGCUGUCUGAAGGUGAGAGAGUAACACUUCAUACUCGCAAGUUGCAAAUUUGCUACUCUGCCUCUGAAUCUUGUGCAUUGCAAUACUGGAAAUAAAGGUCCUGGAGGCUGAGAGAAGCAUGUACUGUUUGUUUGGCUCUGAGGAUAAACUGCUAUUGGUAAGACAUUAACCUCAAACAAAUGAAAAUUUUCGGCUAGAGAAGUCUUUUAAAAUUUUGUCUUAUUAGCCCAAUAGGUCUCUAUCCUCUGAUCUUUUGGAGAAUGAGGAAACUUCAAAAUAAAACCCCUCUCCUCUUAAUUUUGAAAUUAGUACCUUUGUAAGAUCAGUAUGAGCAUAGGACCUGCUUGCAGAAACAACUUAUGCUUUCCAGUCACUGCCUGAAGGACUUAUAUUCCUCCACUGACUACAGAAGGCUCGACAUUACCUGAGUGUGAAGACAUACACACACACAAAUCUGAUUAAUGCUGGUGCCGAAAAGGAAAGAAGAUCCUCUUCUCAGCUCCCCUGCUGGCUCCAGUUUCCAUGUCAGCUUUCCUUGUGCCAAGUCUGGCGUACAGCACAACCCGCCAUAGACCUUCUCGACUCAGGAGCCCAGGAGAAAACUAAAGCCAUCAGAAAACUGCACACAGCUCUCUGCCAGCUUCAUAAGCUGAACUGGUCCAGUGAAGAGCCCAGUGAGUUUCAGAGUAAGUCCUAUGACACUACACCACAAUAAGAUGAUACAGGUGUAUAAGAGCAGUGAGAUCACCUGCUUGCAGCUUUUCGUAGGAAGCUUGGAUAAUUUUGGAGGAAUUUGGGCAAUUUAAAGAAAUUCCCCCCAUCAUGUGAAGCUGCUUGGAGUUCAACAGGGAAUUUCUGUGCUUAAGACCCAAUUGCUCAGGUUAAAAAUGCCAGGGAAAGAUGCUGAAGUCCCAGGCCAUGGGUCUGUUGGUUUGUAUAAGGCUUGUGCUGGCACAGAGACAAAAAGAACUUAAAUUGUUCAAAGCUCAGUACAAACUGACUUCUGGUGGUACCAGAAUAUCAGAUACCAAUUAAGAGGUCCAGUUAAGGGCCAAGAAGACAGUAAAUGUUCUGCUGACUAGGCAGUCUCCACUACCACUCUCCAAAACCUGCAGGGGACAAGGCAUCUCAGCAAUGAGGGGCACUGCCAGUAAGGUCAGGUCGUCUCUGCCUCACUCUGCACACAGCUUGUGGGAUUGUGUUCAAUGACUACAUGAGUGCCAGUAGCAGCAUUUUGGGGUCUCGACCACCUUUAUCUAGAGAAAUUGGGAGGAUUUAUAGACUAUAAUCUAAAAGGAAAGGAAGACCUCUGUCUUUUUUGCCUUUGAAGUUUACACUCUUUCUUCCCCUUAUUACUAGAAGUUUUUCCAGAGAAGAGAAUGAAUUUCAUCAUCAAUAUACGAGACAGCUGUGUAAAAGAAGAAGUAUUUUUCCAAAGAGGAAGCUCAAGUGUUUCUCCCCAAGGCAAUUAAGGAUCAAAAGAAGGACACAUUGAUUUCUCGAAUAAAAGAAUUUUCAAAUGAGAGUCCCUUACUCUUUGGAGAUUUUUAGAAAAUUAUUUGCAGAUGGCACAUCUCUCCUCGGUGUGACUUCUUCCAGACACAGGGAGCAUUUAGCACGUCCGCAGUUUAGAGGCAAUGCAGCUUGAUCCUUUAUGUUCUGACUUAGUAAAUGAACAUAUUACUGUGAGUACCUCCUGGAUAAAUAACAGCAGUUUCCUUACGAAACGAUCAAAGGAAAUGUUAACAAAACCCUGCCACUGGCACAAUACAAAGUACCCGUUUAUCAACUCUCUGCAAUUAUUUACACAAGAAGGUCCCCCAGAGCCCAAGGAGGCACACGGUGCCAGCUGUGACGCAUAGCCACAUACACCUGGAGCUGAGGGCGAUGAGAGGAGCCAACCUCUGUGUCCCUUGGACACAAACCUACAUGAAUGGUAUUGCUGUUGUUCUGGGAAAGCAGCUCAAUGGAAAAGUCUGUUUCAAGUGCAGUGGUCCAUAUAGAUCAAGCGCAAAAUGCGUGGAUUUGGCAAAAUAUUCAGAGAAGAAAACCUUAAAAAAUGCAGUCAAAAACUUUACAUCCAAACUAUAGCUUCCAGAUGUGUAUCAGAACACCUAGAAAUUAUUACUAAGGUGAAAAUCAUAUUUCUUUAUUUGGCUCCAUGUCCUGUAUUUGUGUGCUGUGUUCUCACCAUGAAUUACGCCAAUAAUUUUGCUCAGUUUAACCAGUGAAAGAUACAUGUGUGAAAAGAUUAAAUAUAUAAUUUUUGAAGUUGGACAUGACCAAGUCCUGUGAAGUGUAAAACUAAGUUUGUCUUAAUAAGAGUUGUUAAAUACUAAUGUUGUCUCAAAGAUGUAUCUUUGCCUCAAAAACUGACUUAUGAAAGGGCACUCUACAAUUUUUGAUAUUUGUGAAUGCAUAUUAAAUGAAUACCAGCAAUGCACACAUGUACACAUGCAGUGGUUGGAGGAGGUCAGUAAAUUACUGUAUGGCAUAAGGAGACAUUUUGCAGCAACAAGUUGAAGAUGACAUGUCUUGAAAAGUGCCUCAUCAUAUUUUGGAAUGCUGGUUCAGUACUAAUGCAAUAGGAGGACUGCCUGCUGAACCAGCAACAAGACCUUCUUUGCAUAGAAACUUGGGGUUUCACACUGAGUCUUCCCUCCUCAUGCUAACUUUCUGUUGUGCAUUUCUGAGAAACAAGGUCGCAGUCUCUGGGGCAGCAUGACAUUCUGUGUAUGCAAUUCAGACUGCUCCAGCAAGAACAUAUGCCAAUACUUUUGGGAAAGGAUAUUUUUUUCAUUUCAGUGUGAAAGCACCUGUGAAAGUACUAGCAUUUGAGGGGCUCAAGAGACUGUUUGGCAAGAGAAUUACAUAGGAAAAAUUAUAUUAUAGCCUCUUGAGAAAAGAAAUUUAUGACAGGUGGGUUAGGUACAAAUAUCUGAACAGUACAUCACUAAAUGAUUAAGAAAACCCUAGCAAUACUGCCUCAGUGGGCAGAAGGAGCAAGAACCCAACUGAAAGCCCAGUAUCAUUAGCAAUAAAGUGCCAACUCAGUUUGUGAAUUCUGAAUCAGGAUGACUUUUGGAAUGAAAGAAGGGUUGUAGCUGGAUAAACAAGGAAAAAAAAGUGUUGGCAGAAAAUUCUUUUCACCAUCAGUAAUGAAUUUGUUGACAGAUAUUAUGUAGAACUGGAUACAGGCAUUGCCUGUACAUGAAUGAUUUAAGCAAAAAUUACAACAUGCACCCUUUCAGAAGAUUAUAUGACAAAAAUAAACAUCUACAGUGCAAACAAAAGCAUCUCUGAGCUCCACAACUUAUCAUAUUUCAAAGGAGUUUUAUACUAAGAAAAUUUACAGUUGAAAAUUUCAUGGGUAUACUCUCAUAGGCUUAGUCUUAACCAAGAAUAACAUAAGCACUGUUUGUAUCUAAAAAAAACAGCUUUAAGUAGCAAAGCAAAAUAAUUAUUAAGCUAGCUUCUCCACCAUGUUAGGCAGUUGCAAAGAUUUAUAGACUAAUUCUGCAGGCUGUUUUUUUUUAAUUUAAAGUACAACUACCAAUUAAAAGGAAGUAUUUCAAUGAAAGAGAAAGUAAUUUGAGAUUAUAUUUGAAAAAACAAUUUGGAGUUUACAGAAAAAGUAACUUUGAAAAAUUACCUGAGGGUUGUAACUAUACACGAUUGUUCUUAUGGGAGCUUACAGUUGGGAAGUGGCUGCCCUAACCUGUUUCUCUCGAAUGCAAAUUCUUCACUGACGUAGUGGAAUGGCGUUGUACAAUGUCCAUGCUGGAAGGGGAUGGGCGGCAGCAGCAAUCUCACAGCUGGCUUUGUAUGCUGAAGGAACAGGAGUCUGGUGACUGUCGAAGCAAAGUUAAAGCCCCUGACUGAUCAAAUGUCCCAUUUGUAUCCAAGGCAGGGGGUAAAGUGCAGAGAUCAGGAAAAACGGAAAUUAUAGUUCCAGUACUGAAGUAACUCUACGGCUGAGGGGAAAUGGGCUGAUCUGUUGUUGCUCUUGUCUAAUUCUGCUGGGCUUGCUAAAUCUGUGGACAAAGUGGAGUGAAGAGACAGGAAAAAGCAAGACAACAUGUCACUUCACCUUUUUAGCUUCUGCUGUUUGUUUCAUCUUUUUUAUUUAACAAAUUAAAUGCAUAAAAGUGGUCCUUCUUGCUCCACUUUUAACCAUCUUCUAUUACAUCUGACAGACACCUGGUUUCAGAAUGGUUUGUUCUUCCAAUCAUACUCUCAUGAGAUGGACAUGAGCUCAUAUGCAUCGUCUUGCACUCCAAGCUUUUGUCUUUGGAGAGUCAGUUCUGAAAAGAAGUUCAUCUUUGAACGUACUUUCCUAUGAUCUCUGUGUGCAUCAGUGGUCACCCCCCCAAUAAAGAGCUGUAGAGGAGGAUCUACUCACUGCUUUAUGUCCGUGAGACUCCUGAGGUCUGGUGGAGCCACAAAAUCUUCAUGAGAUUUAUGAAGGCAUGAGAACCCUACGAGGAAUGGCACUUCAGGCCAAGGGAAUCCUCCCCGGUGUCCAAGGGCCAGAAUUAAGAAUCAAACACAGUAGCCUUGACUACACCGCUCCACAUCUGGACAUACUGGCAUUGGUCCUCAGAAGAGGGGCCUUGCUGGCUUGGCUGGAGCACAAGGUGAUGCUAUAUCCCAGCUUCCCAGCAGAAGAAGGAAUGGUUCUCCUCUAAGCAUGUUUUAUUAACUCAGAACACACGUUUCCAUUUAUUUAAACCAUAUGGAUGCAUUUCAUAUUUUUAUUACUUUUCAUGACUGAGACCACCGUAAAUGCUUGCUAUGCAUCUUUGCAUAUUUUAGUUUCCUGAAGCAAUUUUCUCUUAUGUUAAGUAUAAGCUCCACAAAACACAUUAUUCAUUACAGACCUGGGUUGCCUUAUGUAGUAUGAUGUUUCCUCCGUACAUUUACUUAAAUGUCUUUUGUGAAACAGUCCUACAUAUAGCGAUAUUUUACCUGUAAACUGUUUGAAAUAGAAGCCUUUAUAAUUAAACAUUGAUUAAGGUUUAAA